AGCGAACGCUGGCGGCAGGCCUAACACAUGCAAGUCGAACGAACCUUUCGGGGUUAGUGGCGGACGGGUGCGUAACACGUGGGAACGUGCCUUUAGGUUCGGAAUAACUCAGGGAAACUUGUGCUAAUACCGAAUGUGCCCUUCGGGGGAAAGAUUAAUCGCCUUUAGAGCGGCCCGCGUCUGAUUAGCUAGUUGGUUGAGGUAAUGGCUCACCAAGGCGACGAUCAGUAGCUGGUCUGAGAGGAUGAUCCGCCACCUUGGGACUGAGACACGGCCCAAACUCCUACGGGAGGCAGCAGUGGGGAAUCUUGCGCAAUGGGCGAAAGCCUGACGCAGCCAUGCCGCGUGAAUGAUGAAGGUCUUAGGAUUGUAAAAUUCUUUCACCGGGGACGAUAAUGACGGUACCCGGAGAAGAAGCCCCGGCUAACUUCGUG
rnacentral:rRNA from 1 species